UCUGGGCAAAAAUUUCUUGAGUAAUACCCCACAAGACACAAAUCAGAAAAGAGAAAAAGCAAUCAAAGACAGGGAAAAAUAAGAAUAAAAACAAAAGUUGAGUAUUUGAAGACUAAUACAAGAGACAUAGCUCCAGCUAGACUGGUAUAGAAAAAAAGAGAGAGAGAGAAACAGAGAAGGCUUGAAUAAACACUAAAUAUGAAAAUGAGACAUAACCAGAGAUGUAUGAAAGACUAAAAAAUAAGAAAUAAAUUCAAUUGACAAAUUUAUACCAAUAAACUUGAAGCCUUUGAUAAAAUGAGUGAAUUCUUAUGUCAACCUAAAAGGAAGAGACUGAGGAAAAUAUAG
rnacentral:lncRNA from 1 species